rnacentral:rRNA from 1 species
AUUGAACGCUGCCGGCAGGCCUAACACAUGCAAGUCGAGCGGAUGAAGGGAGCUUGCUCCUGGAUUCAGCGGCGGUCGGGUGAGUAAUGCCUAGGAAUCUGCCUGGUAGUGGGGGAUAACGUCCGGAAACGGGCGCUAAUACCGCAUACGUCCUGAGGGAGAAAGUGGGGGAUCUUCGGACCUCACGCUAUCAGAUGAGCCUAGGUCGGAUUAGCUAGUUGGUGGGGUAAAGGCCUACCAAGGCGACGAUCCGUAACUGGUCUGAGAGGAUGAUCAGUCACACUGGAACUGAGACACGGUCCAGACUCCUACGGGAGGCAGCAGUGGGGAAUAUUGGACAAUGGGCGAAAGCCUGAUCCAGCCAUGCCGCGUGUGUGAAGAAGGUCUUCGGAUUGUAAAGCACUUUAAGUUGGGAGGAAGGGCAGUAAGUUAAUACCUUGCUGUUUUGACGUUACCAACAGAAUAAGCACCGGCUAACUUCGUG